GAUGGGCCUCCUCGCAUGGUGGCGCGGUCAAUCUGGUCAGGUCGGGAACGAAGCAGCCACAGCCGCUUUCCACCAGUGCCGAGGGUCGGGCUCGUCACC
rfam:Candidatus Burkholderia kirkii TZHbot1, WGS project CAFE01000000 data, contig: bkir_c103